CGAUCUCAGAACUCACUUGAUGCGGCUGGGGCCAACCGGCCAGUUCUCUCGCACUUCCACCGCCGACCCUGCCGCGAUGUGUCCGGCCUGCGCGCCGGCACCGGCGGCGGCUCGCGGGGGCCUGGCGCUGUACGAGCUGUACAGGGCCGCGAGCCGCGCGGCGGCGCCUGCGGUGCUCCUUUGGCGGCGGCUGCAAGGGCUGGAGCACCCGACGCGGUGGCCGGAACGGCUGGGCCGGCCGUCGGCGGCGCGGCCCCGGCCGGGAUCCCCGCUCGUGUGGUUCCACGCCGUGUCCCUGGGGGAGGGAAUGGCCGCGCUCCCCGUCGUCCGCCACUGCGCCCGCCUCCAUCCCGGCCUCCCCGUGCUCCUCACCACCACCACUCUCUCCUGAUUCGAAGUCAUCAAGGAUUUGCUCCCAGAUGGUGUCAUAUAUCAGUUUGCUCCUCUUGACUGUCCUGAUGCAAUAGACAAUUUUAUUGGAUACUGGAAGCCAAGUUUGGUACUUCUUAUGGAAAGUGAACUCUGGCCAAACCUCAUUAUGUCUGCAGCAGAAAAAGGCAUUGCAGUCGCUCUUUUAAAUGCCCGCAUGUCACUGAAGUCUUUCAACCGCUGGUCCAUGCCUCUAGGGUUGCCAUUAGUCACUCUGAUGCUCUCUAAACUAUCACUUGUUGCCCCAUUGAGUACUAUUCAGGCUGUUCGUUUUCAGCUGUUACAUACACCACCAGGGAUUAUCCAUUUUGCUGGAGAUUUAAAAUAUGCUGUUGGCGAUGUUAAUGUUGGGGAGAAUGAGGUCAACAAAAUAAAUGAUCUUCGGAAACAGUUUAGUAAUAGACCCCUCUGGAUGGCUGCUUCUAUUCACAGAGGUGAAGAACAAGUCAUUCUCCGGGUUCAUGAAGAGUUAAUCAAGAUGUAUCCCACUCUACUACUAAUUCUUGUGCCAAGACAUCCUCAGGACUGCAAGAAUUUUUCCUUAGCUCUGAAGAAACAAGAGGUCAAUUUUGUGCUGAGAUCGACAAAGGAAGUGGUGUCUUCAGGCACUAGGGUAUACAUGGUCGACACAUUAGAUUUGUGCACCUCUCCUUCUGAAAGGGAAUUAAGAAUGCUUUACAGGGUCACUCCAGUUGCGGUUAUUGGCAGUUCAUUUCUACCUGGCUUAGCUGGCCAUAAUAUUUCUGAGGCUGCUGCAGCUGGUUGUGCUGUUGUGACAGGACCCCAUGUUGGACACUUCUACCAUAUGCUGCUUGAUAUGUGGCAAAUAAAUCCUUUAGCUGUCAAGCAGGUGGCUGGAGAAUUCGAACUUCUGCAAGCACUAAAAGAACUGCUCGGUGAUGCCGAAACUCUGGGAGCAUGUCAAAGAGCUGCAAAAGAUGCAUUUUCCAUUAUGUCACAUGGAGUUGUGAACCGUGUAUGGAAUUUAGUCUGCAGGUUCGCCAUUGACUUCCGAAUAGAUACGUGGAACAGUUGAUUUAGCAGAGCCCUACGUGGGACUCUGAGGAGGGGAAAUGCACAUGAAGACAACUGCACUGUUGAAUGCGACAUGCUGGUGCCUCUGGUGGCCUGUUGAGUGGUGACGAAGGACAUGAACCUCAAAUAAGGCCCCUACACUCACCUGAACUGAACAGUAUCGCCUUGUCGUCUACUCGGUUUGCUCCUCUCAGAAAUUAAAAUAUAUUUGGAUAAAUUCCUCUGGGUUGCCUGUCAUCCUUCUGUUUACUUGUGGCGUGGGUGAUAUAUUUUUCGGAGUAUUCUUUAGCGCCAGCCAGCAGAUGAUGUUUUGCAGUCCUUGUUCCUUUCUAAAAUCUCCACUUUCAAGGUUGCGGGAAUUUCAAGGACGAUGCCAGAUUUAGUGUUAGAUGUCAACUGUUAACUGCAUAUGAUUUAUUAGUCGUGCUAUGCGCGAUUUUUAUGUCCUUUUCUUAUCUUGCUAAGUCCUGUUUCAGGAAGUAAGGAAAGAAGCAGAAAAUGACAUAAUGGUUAGUAUUUACAGAUUCAGAUUUGGGAAGAC